AUUCCAGCACCAAUAGCGUAUAUUAAUGCUGCUACUGUUAAAAAAGCUCGUAGUUGGAUCAAGAGUUCGACCGUGCACGGUGGCCCUGUCCUCGCGGUGGUUUUGAUCAUCGCGGGAGCAGUGGAUUAACCCCGUGCGUUAAACGGUCGACUCUAACAGACCGGAGUGGUUCCUUGUGAGUAGGCUCCUUUAUUGGGGCUGAAAGUGUUUAUGCAUUGAUUAUAUGCAUAUGGGACGUCGGUCAAAGUUACUGUGAACAAACCAGCGUGUCCAAAACAGGCUUUUGCCUGAAUGUUCGAGUAUGGAAUAACAAGGGAUCGAUUCUCUCGGUUCUUUUG
rnacentral:rRNA from 1 species